rnacentral:rRNA from 1 species
UUUCCUUCGGGACUGAUUAUUUUGUGACUGAGUGGCGGACGGGUGAGUAACGCGUGGGUAACCUGCCUUGUACAGGGGGAUAACAGUUGGAAACGGCUGCUAAUACCGCAUAAGCGCACGGCAUCGCAUGAUGCAGGGUGAAAAACUCCGGUGGUAUAAGAUGGACCCGCGUUGGAUUAGCUAGUUGGUGAGGUAACGGCCCACCAAGGCGACGAUCCAUAGCCGACCUGAGAGGGUGACCGGCCACAUUGGGACUGAGACACGGCCCAAACUCCUACGGGAGGCAGCAGUGGGGAAUAUUGCACAAUGGGCGAAAGCCUGAUGCAGCGACGCCGCGUGAGCGAAGAAGUAUUUCGGUAUGUAAAGCUCUAUCAGCAGGGAAGAUAAUGACGGUACCUGACUAAGAAGCACCGGCUAAAUACGUGCCAGCAGCCGCGGUAAUACGUAUGGUGCAAGCGUUAUCCGGAUUUACUGGGUGUAAAGGGAGCGCAGGCGGUGCGGCAAGUCUGAUGUGAAAGCCCGGGGCUCAACCCCGGUACUGCAUUGGAAACUGUCGUACUAGAGUGUCGGAGGGGUAAGCGGAAUUCCUAGUGUAGCGGUGAAAUGCAUAGAUAUUAGGAGGAACACCAGUGGCGAAGGCGGCUUACUGGACGAUAACUGACGC